rnacentral:tRNA from 1 species
GGGCGUAUAGCUCAGUUGGGAGAGCGUCUGCCUUACAAGCAGAAUGUCGGCAGUUCGAGCCUGUCUACGCCC